rnacentral:rRNA from 1 species
AGAGUUUGAUCCUGGCUCAGGAUGAACGCUGGCGGCGUGCCUAACACAUGCAAGUCGAGCGAAGCGAUUUUGAGGAAGUUUUCGGAUGGAAUCGAAAUUGACUUAGCGGCGGACGGGUGAGUAACACGUGGGUAAUCUGCCUUAUACAGGGGGAUAACAGUUAGAAAUGACUGCUAAUACCGCAUAAGCGCACGGGAACGCAUGUUUCUGUGUGAAAAACUCCGGUAGUAUAAGAUGAGCCCGCGUCUGAUUAGCUGGUUGGUGGGGUAACGGCCUACCAAGGCGACGAUCAGUAGCCGGCCUGAGAGGGUGAACGGCCACAUUGGGACUGAGACACGGCCCAAACUCCUACGGGAGGCAGCAGUGGGGAAUAUUGCACAAUGGGGGAAACCCUGAUGCAGCGACGCCGCGUGAGUGAAGAAGUAUUUCGGUAUGUAAAGCUCUAUCAGCAGGGAAGAAAAAGACGGUACCUGACUAAGAAGCCCCGGCUAACUACGUG